rnacentral:rRNA from 1 species
GAUGAACGCUAGCUACAGGCUUAACACAUGCAAGUCGAGGGGAAACGACAUCGAAAGCUUGCUUUUGAUGGGCGUCGACCGGCGCACGGGUGAGUAACGCGUAUCCAACCUGCCCAUCACUUGGGAAUAACCUUGCGAAAGUAAGACUAAUACCCAAUGACAUCCCACGAAGACAUCUGAAUGGGAUUAAAGAUUUAUCGGUGAUGGAUGGGGAUGCGUCUGAUUAGCUUGUUGGCGGGGUAACGGCCCACCAAGGCAACGAUCAGUAGGGGUUCUGAGAGGAAGGUCCCCCACAUUGGAACUGAGACACGGUCCAAACUCCUACGGGAGGCAGCAGUGAGGAAUAUUGGUCAAUGGGCGAGAGCCUGAACCAGCCAAGUAGCGUGCAGGAUGACGGCCCUAUGGGUUGUAAACUGCUUUUAUAAGGGAAUAAAGUGGGUCUCGUGAGACUUUUUGCAUGUACCUUAUGAAUAAGGACCGGCUAAUUCCGUGC